rnacentral:lncRNA from 1 species
UCUGAGCACUGUGGCUUAGGUCCAGCUCUGCCUGGGUCUGACUCUUCAGAUAACAGAGGAUGCAAGUAGUUCUUCCUUUCUUAACCUCCUGGCUUAAUGUUAACCAUCUCCUGGUUGAGCAAGUAGGUUCUUGGCACAGAAAGGGCGAGAGCCACAGUGCAAAUCCUUUCCUCCCUGCUCUGCGUAUAUUUGGGAUGUAGGCUGUAAGAUUUUAUGCUCUUAUGGCACAUGGAGAAUGCUCUGGCACCAGGCUGAAGCACAUUGAUGGUCUCCCAUUAUAACUCCUUAGGAAAAUGAAAGAAGGUAAAAUACAUAUGCACCUGUAUGGGCACUGGGGACUAUCUGAGAGAUGGAUGCUGAUUCAUUCCACCCAAAAAAAGGUACAGAGAGAGCACAGAGUCAAUUGUCUUUUGCAUCUCUUUCCAUUGACUAUCAUCUAAACAAUAUCCCUCAGAGUGCUGACUCUCAGCAAGCUGAGAUUUAGGCAGAAGAAGAUGGGCAAAAGGCAUUGCACUCAGAGGACUAAGAUGGGAACAACAGGUGAUUCCUCUCAGGGCACAUUUCCUCCCAUUCUGGUGCAGUCAGUGUGCAGGGUCUAAUUCCUGGCAGCAUCCCCAUCACUUCCAUACUGCCAGCCCCUGUAUAGGGUAAGGGGCCAUUGAGACAAGAGUUAGUACGUGCCUACAGGUUAGUUUGGUUCUUGUUCAUACUGACAUCAGUAUAGAGUAACUCUUCCAACAGUUGAUCUCUCUUUAUAUUGCUGAUGCCCAGAAACCAGUGAAUGAAAUACUGUGAGUUUGGGAACUUCAAUUAGCAGUUCCUAAAAUGAUGAAAUCCUAAGAGGCAGAGAAUGCAAGCAGAAGGAAACCUAAAAUCUGGUUCCUGGUGGGAAUGGUCUCCUAGAAGUGAAUUUCCAUGCAGCUUUCUAAUUUCAGCAGAUAAGUCGUGACCACAACCUGUGGCUAAAGAUGACUAAACGGCACAGCGGGAUGCAUUUUGGCAGAGAAGGAAUGAGACAACAUGAUGGAUCCACUGCACAUCUACUCAUAAGAAGUUUUAUCCUGAGAUGGGACUUCAUUUUGCAAGGUGGAAGAUUUGAUUCUGAUCAACUUGAUGCUGGUGUAAAGGAAGAGCCAUGUCCUGGAACCAAAUGGAAACACCGUGAUACAAAGGACGAUGAGACCAGAAGUGAGCUCUAUUACUGGUAAAAGCAUCUCCCUUCUGAUGUAGCUGUCCUUGAAAGAUUCACAGAAAUUAUUGACUUUUCAGCUCCACACAUAUUUUGGGGCACAAGGGUAUUGGUAACAGAGAAAAUCAAUAUUCUCUUUUUGAGCUUGUUUCCUCUUCUCUUUUUUUUUUUGAGUCCAUAGCAAGGUGGGAAGAACUGCAGGUGACAAUGAAAUUGAGGUUCUUAAAUGCACCAAAAUGACAGAACAGUCUUGUGUGCAAGUAGAAGGGGGCACUUCUCUGCUAAACAAGUUGUCAAAAGCACUGCCUCUUAAUGCAGAACAAUAAAAUAAUCUUUUCAAACA